CAGCCUCGUGGCCUCGGGUGUCGUCAUCCCUGCACACUCCAGGUCGCCACACUAGAGACAGGUGCCCGCCAAAUUGAACUCUGGCUCUGUCCACCUCAGAUGUCACAGUGCUCUCUCAGAGGAGGAAGGCACCAUGUACCCUCUGUUUCCCAGACCAGGUCGACCUCGAACUCUUGAAACCUGCCACGGACCACCCAGUCAGGUAUGGAGGUCCCUGGAAUGAGCGUCCUCGAAGCUAGG